rnacentral:lncRNA from 1 species
UUAACUUUAUAAUCAGAUUUUUCAGAUGUACUUAAAUAUAAGCAGAAAAAUUUUAUAAACAAGUAAAAUUAAGCAAAUUCUAAUCACCAGAAGCAGAACUAAUUAAAACAUGUUUUAAUCGAAAAUACUUCCUAGGUUUCUCCUGCCAAUCUUAAUUAUUCAUUUGAAGAAAUAAAGAGGGACAUGAAAAAAAGUUAUUUCCUGAGAUUGCCUUCUAUUUUAUGAGCCCUUCAUUUACACUGAAAUCAUCUGAAUAGACAUGGUGCUCUUUUGUGUGUCUGGCUGGAGGACAGAAACUUCUACAGCUUUUUAAUUCAGCAGUUGUAUCCAUAAUUUGCUGUCAAACUCUAAAGUCAGGGAGCCCAGAUGAGAACGUAGAAACUGAUUGAAAGUAGAUUUCUCCCUUAAAAUCUAGAAGGAUGCUUAGUGAGCCUGAGAGUACUGUCAGACCACCUUCUGCUGAUUUCUCUUUGGCAAAAUAAAGAUUAGCCACCAAUCUACCAAAUGCCACCUCAUUUUAAUGCCUGGUAUAUCCACAUUCUCCAUCAAUGAUCCCAGACAUAAGUGUGUGGGAGACACAACUAUGUGAGUAAUUAGGAGAUUAAAAUGUUUGGGGGAGGCAACAUAAAUCCAGGAAGAGGUGAAUUAGCAAUAUGGGAGCAUGGAAUUCUAUGUCAAGGUGGGUGACAUGGGUGGGUGCUGUCACUUCAUUCAAUUGGUACAUAAGGCAGUUGGGAGAGGCAGAUUAGAAAAUAUAAUAGUUGAGCUGAAUCCUAAGAGAAGAGCAACUGUCCCUUCCAUGUUCAGGACUUUACAGUCAGCACAUCUUCCCCAUGCUUUCUCAUUGCUCAUUCAUCCCCAGUGGAAAAGCAGGGGAGGCAAAGUCUGUAUGCUGAAGCAGAAAGACUGUUUGUUGGACUUAGAAAGUUACAGAAAUAGGUAGGCCUAGGAUAAUAUUAUUGGCAAUAAUGCUGCUUUUAGUGCUUUACCUACAGAGCUUUUUAGCUCACUGUGGAUAGAAAUAGGGUUGAUGGAGAGUGGUUAUGAACAUAGACUUGGGAGCCGGGCUGAUUGGGAAUUCAAGUCCCAGCUCCACCUUUUCUGAGCAGUGUGAUCCUGGAUGCCUCAGCUCCUACUAUUUCAGCUUUCUCAUCAGGGAAAAAACAGAUAAUAAUAGUACUUACAUCAUAGAAUUCAGAAGGUUUAACAGAUUAACUCAGGUUAAGUUAGGUAGGUGAAACAAGGGAGAAGCAACUGUUCAGACAUGGAAUUAAAGGGAAUUGAGAAGAGGAGGAUUUAAAAUUUGAGGCUGUAUAACAAUCAUUUAGGUUGCCUCUUAAAAAUUUAGAUUCCCAGGCCUCAGCCCCAGGCAUUGAGACUCAGUAGUUCUGGGGCCCAAGAGGCCAUUUUAUAAAAGUAAAUUUACAAAAAGUCGCCAAAAUAACUCAGAGUUUCUGAAUACCAUUGCCAGUUUUCCCCUAAUGCGAACAUCCGAACAUCUUAUUAACAUGGCACAUUUGUUAAAACUAAAGUCAGUGUUGACACAUUACUCUUAACUCCAGACGUCAUCAGAUUUCCCACUCAAGUUCUUUAUCUGUUCCAGGAUCAAAUCCAGGAUACCACACUGGACUUAGAAAAUCUUCAUUUUUCAUAAGCUCUUUCAGUGGAAGAGAGGCAGGGGAGCUGAGGACCACAUUUUGAGAAAACACUCAGACAUUCAGAGAACCAAACCAAAAUUGCUACCUCCCCAAGUUGGGGAGGUAAGUGCAAUUUUAAGGAAGAUAAUUGAUGGAGCAGGUGUAAAUAAAAGAAAAAGCAAGGAUAACGCUGGAAGAAUUUUGUUUAAAGAGGGUCCUAAGGGUCUUGGGUGAAGCAGCUGGUGAAAGAGAAGGUGGAAAAACACUUGAAGCUCUACCUGUGGAAGAGUCAGUUAUCACACCAAGGAGACACAGGAGCCACCAGCUUGGGCUGACAGGCACAAUAACCAUUUAUUCAAAGAUGCCAUCUAAUGCACUAUGCCACUAAGUACUGUGGCUGGACAGUGAUUUUAAGUGUAACAAAUUAUCUUCACUUUGAAAAGAGCUUAAGAGAGAGAAAACAAAUAUUACAUCUUAAACAGAGGCAUGAAUCAAACCAACUUAUGAACGGUGAAAGCAACUUAUCAAAAUGUCUUCGGACAUAUCAAGACUGACUUAAACCAUGUUCUGUGCCCUUUCUUUGUUGAGAAGAUAAACUGGAAAAUGCAAGCUAUUGUCCUUUGCCAAGGAUCGAAGAUCAAAA